rnacentral:lncRNA from 1 species
CCUGGGUGUGUGGGUCUCCCUCUACGAAAGUGCCUCUUCGGGGUCUUUCAUUUGGGGGCUCGUCCGGGAUCGAGACCCGCCCAGGGACCACCGACCCACGUCUGGGAGGUAAAAGACACCCCAAGGGCCCCCCUUCCUUUCCCCCUCUAACCGCCCGCCGCCGCCCCCGCCAGAGGCAGAAGCGGCCGCCGCCGCCUAGCUCCCCUUAACCUCGGAGGAGAAACAGCUGCCCAAUGAAAUUGAUGCAGCUUGCCCUCUUAAAAGACCUGAAUGGGAUUUUACCACUGAAGCAGACAUCUGAGUACCAGUUGCUGACUUCAGACUGUUCUAAGUAGACUGCGAACCCUAGACUUGCUAUGGAUGUGAACUAGUCUGCUGAUAUGGACACCCCCUAUCUCUGCAACAGUGUCUGCUAACCAGAAGCCCCUGAUGGAUUCCCCGUUGCCUAAAUUCCUUUUUGCUUUUGACUAGCAUUUCAACCUUCUGGGGUCCCUAACUUCGUCCCAAAGUCAGCA